GUCCAUGUGCCAUGUGCAAACAACCGAAGAACGUCAAGGUGCCGGGAAUUUUCAGUUCCUUCAAGCUCAGCAAAGCUGGGCACGGCGAGAAUCUCAGAGAAGGAGAAGAGGGAGGGGUGAGAAGUGGCCUCAAUAAUAACGGGCACGAGAAGCGAGCCUUUAAGAGGCGAUGCUUGCUUGACAAAGUGAUGGAUGAGUUCAGCUUGCUUUUGUUCGAUGUCCAUCUUCAGUAACACAGCCUGCACACGUCCUUCCUGAACAAAUUGAAGUGGUUAAUGGAAAUAAAGGAAUCAGGACAUUGAGAAAGAGAAAGAAAAUGGCUGGGGGAAUUGAAAUAGUGCAAAUAGAGAGGUAAAGUUUUAGGGCUUAGGUAUUGUCAAGCCACGAGUGCGACGGUGGAAGGAGCUUGCUUGAUCCACGAGUAAU
rnacentral:misc_RNA from 1 species